GCUCUAUUUUUCUCCGUUCGUGCCGCCUAUAUUGGGGGUGCCGGUUCGCCGGCUAUGGAAAUAAAUGACCGUCGCAAUAAACCAUUCGGACCCGGGGGCGGUACCCGGCGCCUCCACCAAAACCCAUCCCGAGCCCUUGGCUCCGGUGGCUUUUGGCGGGGGCGAAAUAGGAUCGACGAGGGCGUAAAGGGCGUGUUUUUUCUCGGUAUGGUUCCGCCGACAUCGGGCCAAUGCAAUAGUUGCCAACGACAACUUUGCUCCGGUUGCUCAGGCUGCGUAACGCAGUUUGAAAGACCAUCUUAAAGUCCUAACGGGUUAAGCUCCGUUAGGCGGGGUUCGGAGGCACCUGGCAACAGAAGCCUCCACU
rnacentral:tmRNA from 1 species